rnacentral:rRNA from 1 species
AUCUAACACUCGCCGUCGUUAUCAGCCUACACAUGCAGUCGAACGGUAACGGAAGCAGCUUGCUGCUUGCUGACGAGUGGCGGACGGGUGAGUAAUGUCUGGGAAACUGCCUGAUGGAGGGGGAUAACUACUGGGAACGGUAGCUAAUACCGCAUAACGUCGCAAGACCAAAGAGGGGGACCUUCGGGCCUCUUGCCAUCGGAUGUGCCCAGAUGGGAUUAGCUAGUAGUGGGGUAACGGCUCACCUAGCGACGAUCCCUAGCUGGUCUGAGAGGAUGACCAGCCACACUGGAACUGAGACACGGUCCAGACUCCUACGGGAGGCAGCAGGGGGAAUAUUGCACAAGGGCGCAAGCCUGAUGCANGCCAUGCCCGCGUGUACUUGAAGAAGGCCUUUCGGGGUAGUACAGUACUUUCAAGCGGGGNACGAAAGGGCNGUUGAGGGUUAAUAAACCUCAGCACAUUUGGACCCGUUACCCCGAA